GGGAUUAAUAGUAAUGACUGUUUUUACUACGUUGACAUCGUAGAGGUCGUAGGUUCGAACCCUACUGCGCCCACCA
rnacentral:tRNA from 1 species